UACGUAGGGGGCUAGCGUUGUCCGGAAUCAUUGGGCGUAAAGCGCGUGUAGGCGGUUCGGUAAGUCUGCUGUGAAAGUCGGGGGCUCAACCCUCGAAUGCCGGUGGAUACUGUCGGACUAGAGUGCGGAAGAGGCGAGUGGAAUUCCUGGUGUAGCGGUGAAAUGCGCAGAUAUCAGGAGGAACACCGGUGGCGAAGGCGGGUCUCUGGGCCGAUACUGACGCUGAGGAGCGAAAGCGUGGGGAGCGAACAGG
rnacentral:rRNA from 1 species